CAGGAAAACACGCAUAAAACACAGGAAAGUCGAUAAUUUUUAGUAUUAUGUUUUCAUUGCUUAAACGAGUAAGAGGAUUUACUGAAAAUUUUUAAUAGGACACCCUUCUUGGUGAGAGACAAGCAUUCAUCAAAGAUCUCUUGAAAAGGAAGAUGUCGUCAGAGAUUGUUUACACGCAGUUGAUACCCAAUAUGCCGCUCUUUGCAAAAUACAUUUAUACUCCCCCGAUUGCCUUACGUACGACAACACUUUACUGUGUAUAUUGUAAGAAGUGGAUGCAGUGCAGCGACAUAUGCCUUAAUGAGGUGUAUAAUCCAAAACGAAUGAAUACACCUAUUCUGUCAGGAAUUUGUUCGACUUGCGGAAACACUGCAAAUACAAUUAUCAGUGAAAGUGAAAAACUGAAAUGGACUCCCCUUAUGUGAUAAGAUAACACAAUGAACGUAUAUAGAGGACGAAUUUCACUUUGUAUUAAAAUGUCCCCAAUAUCAAACUAAGAAUUAACUACCCGGUAUAUCAAGAUUUAUUUUUAAAAAAAAAUUAGUGUUUAAAUUAAUACAGUUACUGAGUUCCACAAAUACUAAAGAACUAUG